rnacentral:tRNA from 1 species
AUCUAAAUAGUUUAUUAAAAAUAUUAACUUGUGGCGUUAAUGAAACAUUUAAGUGAAAUGUUUUAGAUAAUUAAU